rnacentral:rRNA from 1 species
GACGAACGCUGGCGGCGUGCUUAACACAUGCAAGUCGAACGGAAAGGCCCUGCUUUUGUGGGGUGCUCGAGUGGCGAACGGGUGAGUAACACGUGAGUAACCUGCUCUUGACUUUGGGAUAACUUCAGGAAACUGGGGCUAAUACCGGAUAGGAGCUCCUGCUGCAUGGUGGGGGGUGGAAAGUUUCGGCGGUUGGGGAUGGACUCGCGGCUUAUCAGCUUGUUGGUGGGGUAGUGGCUUACCAAGGCUUUGACGGGUAGCCGGCCUGAGAGGGUGACCGGCAACAUUGGGACUGAGAUACGGCCCAGACUCCUACGGGAGGCAGCAGUGGGGAAUAUUGCACAAUGGGAGGAAGCCUGAUGCAGCAACGCCGCGUGCGGGAUGACGGCCUUCGGGUUGUAAACCGCUUUCGCCUGUGACGAAGCGUGAGUGACGGUAAUGGGUAAAGAAGCACCGGCUAACUACGUG